CCUACAGAUAGGCCUUGUGAAGACCUCUGCGUAUAUAAGGAAGGCAGUCGUGAAGGGGUCUGUAUUUUCCCGUCGCAACAGGCCGAGCACAAGGGAAGUGAUAUCAUC
rnacentral:ribozyme from 1 species